GACGUAAAAUCCGUCGACUUUAAAAAUCGUGAGGGUUCAAGUCCCUCUAUCCCCAAAAAAGCUUUAUUUGAUUCCCAAACGAUUUUCCCUAUCCGC
rnacentral:tRNA from 1 species